CUUGUGUAAACACCUGCCAGUAAUCUAGCGGCUGAGCGAACCGAGAUGAAACAGAACCUGUUCCUACAGUCCGUCUCAGCCUGCCUUCGCAUCCCGGCCGGAACCGGGUGCGAGGCCACACUGGACUCUGAUAGGAGGCUGGCAGCUCGCGGGGGAUUCUGCAUGUUGAACGGCGAGCCGCCGCCGCGCUACACGGUUGCUACGUGACGGCUACACUUCUCCUGCGCUGUUCCUCAAUCCUCUAAAGGACGUCGCGUGGAGGAUCAAGCAGCUGCACCGACCGGGAUGCAAGGUCGGGACUCACAGAAGGCCGGAGGCCCCGGUCGUGUAAAAACGGCCUAUUCGUGCUCCUCGUGGUCUGAUUCCACGCCGCUAGAAUUUGAGUAUGCAAAUUGGACUCAGCUACAGAAAACCUGGUCGACACAGUACGUACACUUUCUGCCUUCUGCAUUGUGCUUCAGCGCCGCCAAAGCAACAUUCACUGAAAUAAAUAAUGAAAGAUUUCCCUCCCGAAAUCCCUCGUCAGCCGCGUAUCUCCCGGGGGGACGCCCUCAUCGCCCGCCUGGCUCCCCUGGACGCUCCAUGUCCCGCGACGACAGACAGCGAGACGCCACGGAUUGUGACCGGCGCGAGGGAGGGGGGGGGGAGAUGUUUUGCCGGUGAGAGAAUGAAGGUAACCCGCAGACAAAAAAAGCCCGCCGGGCGCUUGAGUGAGAAAGCCGUGUGAGCGGCGUUUACAUGGCUACAUAAGCACGCGGGCGUGUUCAGGAGGUCACGCGUGAAGCGGGCCGGCGACGUCAGCCGUGCACACUAACCGACUCGCGCCCGUUUGCUCCGGAUGACUCGUGCCGGCACCAUGGCGACCGCAGCCCAAAAAUAAUUGUUGUUUGCAAGAGCGGACAGCUUUCGUCGUGACCUUCGAGCUGGGGGGGGGGCGGGGGUCAGCGAUGACUCUGUUGCCAUGGCGUUUUCAUUUAACCUACUUUUACCACCUGCCAUUCAAAGUGGAGCAUUCAAAAAUAUGCAUCUACCAGUAUCUGCGCCGUGUGAGCAAGUGAGGCGCCGGCGCGUACGCGCUCAGAUAGAUGGACGUCACAGUUCAAACUGGAUAUAAUGAGGUCAUAGGAGUGCUGAGGGACUGAAGCAGG
ensembl:lncRNA